rnacentral:rRNA from 1 species
GACGAACCGUGCAAUCGUUGUUCGGAAUCACUGGGCUUAAAGGGCUCGUAGGCGGGUUCCCAAGUCGGUGGUGAAAUCUUUCAGCUCAACUGGAAAAGUGCCGCCGAUACUGGGAGUCUUGAGGGAGGUAGGGGUCGAUGGAACUGGUGGUGGAGCGGUGAAAUGCGUAGAUAUCGCUAGGAACGCCGGUGGCGAAGGCGGAUCUCUGGACAGUUACUGACACUGAGGCACGAAGGCCAGGGGAGCAAACGGG